GGGUGAGUAGCACGUGAGCAACCUGCCCCGAAGACUGGGAUAACACCGGGAAACCGGUGCUAAUACCGGAUACCCCCACCGGAUCGCAUGGUCUGGUGAGGAAAUGGAUUCCGCUUCGGGAGGGGCUCGCGGCCUAUCAGCUUGUUGGUGAGGUAACGGCUCACCAAGGCGUCGACGGGUAGCUGGUCUGAGAGGACGAUCAGCCACACUGGGACUGAGACACGGCCCAGACUCCUACGGGAGGCAGCAGUAGGGAAUCUUGCGCAAUGGGCGAAGGCCUGACGCAGCAACGCCGCGUGGGGGACGAAUGCUUUCUGAGUUGUAAACCCCUUUCAGCAGGGACGAUAGUGACGGUACCUGCAGAAGAAGCACCGGCCAACUACGUGCCAGCAGCCGCGGUGAUACGUAGGGUGCAAGCGUUGUCCGGAUUUAUUGGGCGUAAAGAGCUCGUAGGCGGUUCGAUAAGUCGGGUGUGAAACCCCCAGGCUCAACCUGGGGCCGCCACUCGAUACUGUCGUGACUCGAGUCCGGUAGGGGACCAUGGAAUUCCUGGUGUAGCGGUGAAAUGCGCAGAUAUCAGGAGGAACACCAGCAGCGAAGGCGGUGGUCUGGGCCGGUACUGACGCUGAGGAGCGAAAGCGUG
rnacentral:rRNA from 1 species